rnacentral:rRNA from 1 species
AGUGUAUAUUAAAGUUGUUGCAGUUAAAAAACUCGUAGUUGAAUUUCGGGAUCAAUACGUCGGUCAUGCUUUUUGGUACGAACUGGCGUCAUUGGUUUCUCCUUUCUGACGAACCAUGAUGUCAUUAAUUUGGUGUUAUGGAAAGUUGGGACUGUUACUUUGAAAAAAUUAGAGUGUUUAAAGCAGGCAUAAGCUUGAAUACAUUAGCAUGGAAUAAUGAAAUAGGACGUUUGAUCCUAUUUUGUUGGUUUCUAGGAUCAACGUAAUGAUUAAUAGGGAUAGUUGGGGGCAUUAGUAUUCAAUUGUCAGAGGUGAAAUUCUUGGAUUUAUUGAAGACUAACUACUGCGAAAGCAUCUGCCAAGGAUGUUUUCAUUAAUCAAGAACGAAAGUUAGGGGAUCGAAGACGAUCAGAUACCGUCGUAGUCUUAACCAUAAACUAUGCCGACUAGGGAUCGGAUGAUGUUAAUUUUUUAAUGACUC